CUAGUUCAAACAGAGUCUCACCUAAUUUCAUCACUUGGUUUGUGUACUCAAGGAGAAUAUCCCUAUCACAAAUGCACAAUAAGCAAUAGACAAUAGUCAUUUGUCUGAAUUAUUUUGCUGCUAGAGAAAAAUGUUGUUAUAGAGAGGUUGUGAGCUGUACGGGCAAGGAGGUAGAAACUGAUUUUCGGCUAACGCUUCUACUCCUAUUGCUUUCCACAUCAGAUUGGAUAGAAGACUUACCUGCAGAAGAUCUGCAAUAUUUACAACAAGAGCACCAGGGGUAGGAGGGACAUCAACC